ensembl:lncRNA
AGGGACACGUUGGGACCCAUGGAUGUGGGACAGACCCAUAGGGACACGUUGGGACCCAUAGAUGUGGGGCAGACCCAUAGAUGUGGGGCAGACCCAUAGGGACACGUUGGGACCCAUAGAUGUGGGGCAGACCCAUAGGGACACGUUGGGACCCAUGGAUGUGGGACAGACCCAUAGGGACACGUUGGGACCCAUAAAUGUGGGGCAGACCCAUAGAUGUGGGGUGGGACCCCCCCAGUGCCCCCCAAGUGCUCACAGCCACCACUGCUCACUACCAACACUACUUUAUUGUACGGCAGCGCCAUGGGGUGGGACCCAUAGAUGUGGGGCAGACCCAUAGAUGUGGGGCAGACCCAUAGAUGUGGGCUGGGACCCAUAGAUGUGGGGUGGGACCCAUAGAUGAGGAACAGACCCAUAGAUGUGGGGCAGACCCACAGAUGUGGGGUGGGACCCAUAGAUGAGGGGCAGACCCAUAGAUGAGGAACAGACCCAUAGAUGUGGGGUGGGACCCAUAGAUGAGGGGCAGACCCAUAGAUGUGGGGCGGGACCCAUAGAUGUGGAGCAGACCCACAGAUGUGGGGUGGGACCCAUAGAUGUGGGGCAGAGUCACCACUGUGGGGCAGAGGCCUCAUCUAUGGGGCAGAGCCAUGGGGUAGAGGCCUCAUCUAUGGGGCAGUCGCCAUCUGUGGGGCAGAGGCAUCAUCUAUGGGGCAGAGGACUCAUCUAUGGGGCAGAGGCCCCAUCUAUGGGGCGGAGGCGCGAUGUGUGGGGCAGAGCCAUGGGGUAGAGGCCUCAUCUAUGGGGCACAGGCAUCAUCAAUGGGGCAGAGGCCCCAUCCAUGGGGCAGAGGCAUCAUCUAUAGGGCACAGGCCUCAUCUAUGGGGCGGAGGCCUCAUCUAUGGGGCACAGGCCUCAUCAAUGGGGCAGAAGCAUCAUCUAUGGGGCAGAGCCAUGGGGCAGAAGCCUCAUCUAUGGGGCAGAGCCAUGGGGCAGAGGCCUCAUCAAUGGGGCAGAGCCGCCAUCUAUGGGGCAGAGGCCUCAUCUAUGGGGCAGAGCCAUGGGGCAGAAGCCUCAUCUAUGGGACAGAGGCCUCAUCUAUGGGGUACAGGCCUCAUCUAUGGGGCAGAGGCCUCAUCUAUGGGGCAGAGGCCUCAUCUAUGGGGCAGAAGCCUCAUCUAUGGGGCAGAGGCCCCAUCCGUGGGGCAGAGGCGCGAUGUGUGGGGCUCAGUAGUUGGAGGAGCGCUCCUGCUGUCUGUAGGCCCCACGGCGAAGGUAACCGCCGUCCCCCUUCCGGUAGCCGUCCUUCUGAUCUGUGGGGCACAGGAACACUUAUGGGGCACAGCAGCACUUAUGGGGCAGAGAGGCACUUAUGGGGCAGAGGAGCACUUAAGGGGCAGAGAAGCACAGGGAAGAGAGGCACUUAUGGGGCAGAAAGGCACUUAUGGGGCAGAGGAGCACUUAUAGGGCAGAGAGGCACUUAUGGGGCACAGAAACACGGGGCAGAGGAGUACUUAUGGGGCACAGGAACAUUUAAGGGACAGAGGAGCACUUAUGGGGCAGAGGAACACUUAUGGGGCAGAGAGGUACUUAUGGGGCACAGAAACACGGGGCAGAGGAGUACUUAUGGGGCACAGGAACACUUAUGGGGCACAGAAACACGGGGCAGAGGAGCACUUAUGGGGCAGAGGAACACUUAUGGGGCAGAGAGGUACUUAUGGGGCAGAGAGAUACUUAUGGGGCACAGAAACACGGGGCACAGGAACACUUAUGGGGCAGAGGGGCACUUAAGGGGCAGAGGAACACAGGGAAGAGAGGCACUUAUGGGGCAGAAAGGCACUUAUGGGACAGAAGAGCACUUAUGGGGCACAGAAACAUGGGGCAGAGGAGUACUUAUGGGGCAGAGGAGCACUUAUGGGGCAGAGAGGUACUUAUGGGGCACAGAAAGACGGCAGAGGAGCACUUAUGGGGCACAGGAACACUUAUGGGGCAGAAAGGCACUUAUGGGGCAGAGAGGUACUUAUGGGGCAGAGGAGUACAUAACCCCCAGCCCCACAUCUCUGCCCCCCAUAACCCCCAGCCCCACAUCUCUGCCCCCCACACCCCACAUCCC